rnacentral:miRNA from 1 species
CUAUUAACUAUGUAUUGGU